GUUUAUGCUGUUUUCCUAUAUGCCUACUCACCUUAUGCUCACAGUUGUAAUUCUACUAGCUUCUCCUCGAUUUCUGAUUUAGCUUACUCUUCAGCUGAAUUCCUGUCUGCUUUGACCAGUCUCUGUACUGCCUCUAGAGAAGCUAAGAGAAGGGCUCUGGUCAUUUUUUAUUUUCUCCUGCUUUUUAGUAUUUCACUAGUGUCAGAAGAAAGAGGUUCUACCCUGACUGAUAGAGAAUCAGCUAGUUACUGUUUAUGGAUAACAAUGCCUGCAGAUUUUUAGUGAAGCUGAAAUGCUAUGGUACAUUUCCUUUCCCUUAAAUAUGCCACCCUGCAGGACUGGCAGAUGAGAUCUACUCUGCUAAAACCAGCCCAGAAACAAGGGCGGCCGAGGCCUGCUUCACUCCCCUUGGUCCCUUGCAGUAGCCUCGGGCUCAGGACAGAUCUCUCUUCUUUCUGCUCUAGUGCUGUUGGCACAGCUUGUGGCAGCCUAAUGCACCCAGGGCUUCGUGGGAUGACUUCAGGCUAGUUCACUAGGCUCAUCUGCUGUUAGAACAGUCAUUUCUCCGAAAGCAUCUGAGGGCACAACUCUAAGAACCUGGGGGCAGGGACCAGGUCUCAGGUUUGUCUGCCUCUCUGGUACCCAAUGUAACACUGCUCCGCCAGGGCCCUCAGGCUGACUGAAGGCAGCCCCACAGGAGGUUUCGGCAGUACCACUCAGUGAUCACAGAGCUCCCAAACCUUGAGCCUGCCUGGAAAACACACUGUCUGUUAGUAGCCUUUGAAAACGCACCAUGGGGCUUCCCUGGUGGUGCAGUGGUUAAGAAUCCGCCUGCCAAUGCAGGGGACACAAGUUCGAGCCCUGGCCCUGGAGGAUCCCACAUGCCACGGAGCAACUAAGCCCGUGCACCACAACUAACUACUGAGCCUGUGCUCUAGAGUCUGCGAGCCAUAACUACUGACCCCGCGUGCCUAGAGCUUGUGCUCUGCAACAAGAGAAGCCACCGCGAUGAGAAACCCGCUCACUGCAAUGAAGAGUAGCCCCCGCUCGCCGCAACUAGAGAAAGCCCGUGCACAGCAACAAAGACCCAACGCAGCCAAAAAUAAAAAUAAAAAUAAUUCAUAAAGAAAAGCACCAUGUUAUUUUAUCAACUUGAAAUAAGGGGAAGGGCUGCUUUUUUUUUU